AGGGCUUGACAUCCCGCGACUGCCGGGGAACCCGGAGUUCCCCUUCGGGGGACGCGGU
rnacentral:rRNA from 1 species